GGGGGUGUAGCUCAGUGGUAGAGCACCGGCCUUUUAAGCCGUAGGUCCUGGGUUCGAUCCCCAGCACCCUCA
rnacentral:tRNA from 1 species